CCUACGGGGGGCUGCAGUCGAGGAUCUUCGGCAAUGGGCGCAAGCCUGACCGAGCGACGCCGCGUGCGGGAUGAAGGCCUUCGGGUUGUAAACCUGGAGAGCCUGACGGUCCUAUCCGCAGAGGAAGUGUGGGCUAAGCUCGUGCCAGCAGCCGCGGUAAGACGAGCCACACAAACGUUAUUCGGAAUUACUGGGCUUAAAGGGUGCGUAGGCGGUGCGGAAAGUAGGGUGUGAAAGCCCUCGGCUCAACCGAGGAAUGGCGCUCGAAACUACCGUGCUUGAGGGAGACAGAGGUAAGCGGAACUUCGGGUGGAGCGGUGAAAUGCGUUGAUAUCCGAAGGAACACCGGUGGCGAAAGCGGCUUACUGGGUCUUUCUGACGCUGAGGCACGAAAGCUAGGGUAGCAAACGGGAUUAGAUACCCUAGUAGUC
rnacentral:rRNA from 1 species